UUUUAAUGGUGUUCCGAUGGACAUGUGGUUUCUGAAGGUGCUCCAACAAGAAUGAGAAAGGCUCGGUUAAAAAUCACCGGCAAGGAGCGGAGAGGCCGUUGAUAGCUAAAACGCUGAGAAAGAAACCACAGCAUUAGCAGCAGCAGCAGCGCACAGAAAGGCCCCGCGUUUACCCACAUGCUCGAGAAGCGGCUUCAGACAGACUGUGAAACUCAUAUCAGCCCCAGCGUCUGACGGAGAAGGAGAGAGGGGACGGAGUUUGAAUUAUAGACAAAAAGCACAACAGGAGACAGAGCAGCCAGAGAGAGAGAGAAAGAGAGAGAGGGAGGACGUGAUUGAGUGACGAGACGGAGACAGACAAGUCAACCGACCCCACUUGGAGUUAUUGACGUUCAAUUGACUUUGGGACAUCUGCGAGCCCGUUUCUUCUCGUUAAUUACAGAGUUCUGGUUUAGCUCACACGCUUGUUAGCGAGGGAAAUAAAGGAGGUGCUACGUGGUGGAGUUUGGAGCUGUGAAACAGAACCCCCAAACUCCACAUUCAUCAGUUACUUCAUCUCUUGUUUUGGUCCGCUACAACGUCAGAGGCAAGCGCAUAAAGAGCUGCCAGAUGAGGGACUUUGAUGAAACAGCUGCAGGCAGUGGCAGGAGAACAAUGCGGCGCUGGAUGCAAAAGAGGAUGUGCAUGAGUCAUAGCCCUGUGGUGUAGAGUAUCAGUGAUCUGACUGUCCCCUCAAUGGAGAAGAAGGAAAAAAAAAACAUAGAGAGAGAGAGAGAAAAAAGAGAGAGAUGUGGAUAGAGGCUGUGACCAAAAAAAAACUGCUUGGUUUCCAUGACAACCGAGCUCUGCUGGUGUCACCGGGAACACAGCGUUUCGCUCUAAUGAGGCAAACUGGAUCAUUUUGUCCAUUUACCUGUGUACCCAGCAGCCGCGCGCCGCUCCUCGUGUCUUUUAUCACCCAUGCGCGUGGAGGAGAGGUUGGCGCCGCAGCCUGUCUGUUUACUUUGUUGCAGCUCUGAGAGGGAAAAUUGCCUCUCUGUGCUCCGAUGUGAGACUCGGCAGACAAAUUUGGAAAAGAUUGGCUGCUCGAACUUACUGAUUUGCACUGCAGAGGGAAAGUCAAGGUGACCCCUCACACACACCCAUCCCACAGAAACACAAACAGGUAUGCAGUGUCACAAUGACACCAACUGAUGACUUCCCUUUUUUGGUUGUUCCGGAGCAGAUCCGUGGAUCUAGCUCCAAUGAAUCAUCUCUGACUCUGCAGCUGAGCUGUGAAGGUCUAAAAGUAACUGGAAGCUGCAACAGUCAGAACAGCCUGUGCUAAACUUACCAGGUCCUUACAGGAGGUCAAGUAUCCUACCUUUCUGAAUCUUCCGGACACUCGUACCAAAUCCACCUCUCUGCACUGCUCGGCCAGAAGUCUUUGGUUCGGAUCAUUUAUUUUUUGCGGACGAGCAGCACAGCUCUAAAACACAGUCACACUAAAUGUUUUUGAAUCUAAACACUGACAUAACU